rnacentral:rRNA from 1 species
GAUGAACGCUAGCUACAGGCUUAACACAUGCAAGUCGAGGGGCAGCAUGAACUUAGCUUGCUAAGUUUGAUGGCGACCGGCGCACGGGUGAGUAACACGUAUCCAACCUGCCGAUGACUCGGGGAUAGCCUUUCGAAAGAAAGAUUAAUACCCGAUGGCAUAAUUCUUCCGCAUGGUAGAACUAUUAAAGAAUUUCGGUCAUCGAUGGGGAUGCGUUCCAUUAGGUUGUUGGCGGGGUAACGGCCCACCAAGCCUUCGAUGGAUAGGGGUUCUGAGAGGAAGGUCCCCCACAUUGGAACUGAGACACGGUCCAAACUCCUACGGGAGGCAGCAGUGAGGAAUAUUGGUCAAUGGACGAGAGUCUGAACCAGCCAAGUAGCGUGAAGGAUGACUGCCCUAUGGGUUGUAAACUUCUUUUAUACGGGAAUAAAGUGAGGCACGUGUGCCUUUUUGUAUGUACCGUAUGAAUAAGGAUCGGCUAACUCCGUG